AGGCAGCGCUGUGGGGGAUGGGCCGCUCUCUCUCCUCUCCAGACGCUGGAAAACGGGAGCACCGAGGUUAGAAUACAGGAGCUUCUCCGGAGGCGAGGUCAUCCAUUGACAUGCAGAGAUCAGAAGCAGGUUGACAACACGGCAAUCCAUUUACCAGUCAGAGAACUGAGGCUGGAAACGUCAAUCCGCCUCAUAUGCAGAGGUCUGUGACUGAGGACAAGAAAAUCCACUAGACAUGCAAGGUGUGACUUAUCCAUCACGCCUGGGAGUUAUAUAUAAGAAGGGAGCCAAGCUGUUAAGAGGAGGCACCGGCGGCCAGCGCGAGGAGCGGGAAGAUCUUCUUGACAUCAGAGUCCUUGGCAGACCCUGAAUUUCAGGAGGAUUCUGGGGAAUCGGCGGCUGUGGUAGAGUCUGCCCUGGACGAGGGAGGUCUUUACGGUGAUACGCCCGGAUUGGAGGGCUUAGCUCUACGAUCCUUGGCUCCUUCCACCCUCCGAGGGUACAGAAAUGCUAUGGGAAAGUGGGAGAGAUAUGUCCGUUUACAUCAGGACCAAGAUUUGCGCUUGGACGAGUGUCCGAUAUGGAUAAUUGGGCACUCAUACGUUUACUAUGGUGAAAGGUCUGGUUUGGAGUGCCUUCAGUCACCUGAAGCUAAUCUUAUCAGAUGGAUCGGUGUGAGGGGACUUCGCUGGGAGCAAGUCAUGCCCCUAUUUUGGCAACAGUCGGAGAGGUCGGGAUACCCGCUGAGGGUGGUGUUCCAUGCUGCUGGAAAUGAUUUGACCAGAAGGACUGGUCAAGAUCUUCACAAAACUAUAGUUAGGGACUUAGCUUGCAGAACAGGUUGUGUUUUCUGAGUGUGGGAUGGUCGGAUAUUAUCCCACGUUUGGUUUGGAGAGAUGCAGACAGACCGGAUACCAUAGAGUUGGUCCGGUGCUGGAUCAAUUCUGUGGUGGGCAGGGCUGUUAGUGAAAAUUGGGGGUUUGUGGUCCCACAUCCCUCAAUUUUAUUUUCUGACCCUCAUCUUUACAUGGACAAUGGUGUCCAUCUGAAUUUGAUGGGUAUGGAAAUUUUUAUGGAGGAUCUGUUGUUCGCUGUUUUUAGUCAGGAAUUUUAUUGAUAGGUAGGAGGAGUUUAGGAGUAGUAAGAAGAGUUUUAAGGUUGAGGUUUGGUGGCGGGGGUUUCGUUGAAACUGUGGCGGGUUGGGACGGCCUGAAAAUGUGGCUGUAAUUUAAAGAGUUUUAUAGGUGCUCAGGAGAUGUGAAGGCGGGGAAGUUUGAUACAUUACCGGGCCGGAGUUCCAUCGGACAAGGUGGGCUUCGGUCUCCGGUGGAGUUGGUACACACCUGAGCACCUUUUGGUUGGGAGUUGGGGAAUACCUUGAGUGGAGAGUUGGCCACGGUAUUCCCGAUAAAGAGCAAGUAUCACAAGGGGUGGCAAAAUGGCCCAUUAUGGCCCCUUGUGAUGUGUGGGGGGCUGGGCUGAAAUUGGGCCCUUUAAAGCCUCCCCUUGUGAUGUGAUGGGGGCUGGGCUGAAAUUGGGCCCUUAAAGCCCCCUUGUUAUGCGAUGGAGGCCGGGCUGAAGUUGGGCCCUUGUGUUUUGGUCAGCCACAGUUAAAAGGUUUAAAAGGUUAGAAUAAAUAGGGACUUUAUUUAAAUAGGCCGUCCCUCCUUGCCACCAUACCAUUUGUUUAAUAAAAGCUGACAAUUUUAUUG